rnacentral:lncRNA from 1 species
GAAAAUACAAAACCGAAGGAUAAGAAAAAGGAUGGUACAAUCCAUCCAAAGUCAUAGGAUGAAUACCUUACCACCUUUUCAUUUCUUUAUUACUGAUGAAGAUAACAUGUUGGAAUGUUCGCGGACUUAAUAAGCCAGAGAAAUGUCGGGAGCUCAACAGAAUAAUCAAGUCUGCCGCAUGUGAUAUUGUUAUUCCAGUAGAAACGAAAAUUAAACAAUCGCGCGUUCAAGCUCAAAAGAAUUUAAUAUGGCCAGACGCAGAACUGUUUACCAAUGACUCAAAUGAAACUUUUGGUAGAAUAUGGGUCUUAUGGCAUCCUAACUCUAUUAAUGCUUGGUUUAUUUCUGCUACUGAUCAAUUCAUUCAACUUAAGGUAGAGGACAAAAAGAAUGGCUGUCAAUUCA